rnacentral:rRNA from 1 species
UACGUAGGGUGCAAGCGUUGUCCGGAAUUAUUGGGCGUAAAGAGCUCGUAGGCGGUUUGUCGCGUCUGCUGUGAAAACUCGGGGCUUAACUCCGGGCCUGCAGUGGGUACGGGCAGACUAGAGUGCGGUAGGGGAGACUGGAAUUCCUGGUGUAGCGGUGAAAUGCGCAGAUAUCGGGAAGAACACCCGUGGCUAAGGCGGCUCUCUGGGCCAUUACUGGACGCUGAGGAGCGAAAAGCGUGGGGAGCGAAACAGG